UACGUAGGGUGCGAGCGUUGUCCGGAAUUAUUGGGCGUAAAGAGCUUGUAGGCGGUCUGUCGCGUCUGCUGUGAAAACCCGGGGCUUAACCCUGGGCUUGCAGUGGAUACGGGCAGACUAGAGGCAGGUAGGGGAGAAUGGAAUUCCCGGUGUAGCGGUGAAAUGCGCAGAUAUCGGGAGGAACACCGGUGGCGAAGGCGGUUCUCUGGGCCUGACCUGACGCUGAGGAGCGAAAGCGUGGGGAGCGAACAGG
rnacentral:rRNA from 1 species